GAUGAACGCUGGCGGCGUGCCUAAUACAUGCAAGUCGAGCGAACAGACGAGGAGCUUGCUCCUCUGACGUUAGCGGCGGACGGGUGAGUAACACGUGGAUAACCUACCUAUAAGACUGGGAUAACUUCGGGAAACCGGAGCUAAGACCGGAUAAUAUAUUGAACCGCAUGGUUCAAUAGUGAAAGACGGUUUUGCUGUCACUUAUAGAUGGAUCCGCGCCGCAUUAGCUAGUUGGUAAGGUAACGGCUUACCAAGGCAACGAUGCGUAGCCGACCUGAGAGGGUGAUCGGCCACACUGGAACUGAGACACGGUCCAGACUCCUACGGGAGGCAGCAGUAGGGAAUCUUCCGCAAUGGGCGAAAGCCUGACGGAGCAACGCCGCGUGAGUGCUGAAGGUCUUCGGAUCGUAAAACUCUGUUAUUAGGGAAGAACAAAUGUGUAAGUACCUAUGCACGUCUUGACGGUACCUAAUCAGAAAGCCACGGCUAACUACGUG
rnacentral:rRNA from 1 species